rfam:Acetivibrio ethanolgignens strain ACET-33324 ACET-33324.Scaf31, whole genome shotgun sequence.
AAAAUUGGUAGAGGUGCAAGAAGCAAAGAGUAGAUCAUUGGAUAUGGUUCAGGACAUAGAGGAAAGUGAUUGAAAGGUGUGAUUGCCGAAGGGAAAUGGACCUGGGACAUUUUGCCUGGUCAUAGGGCUAAGAGCUCUAUGACUGUCAUCAUACAAUUUGAUGGAGUGCUACCUAAAGA